CCCUGCGGGCCGCAAGCGGGUCGGGGAGGCGCUUUUCCGGAUAAUGUUCCAACCCCUUAGGUCUUCAUUAUAGGAAUUCCGGAAGGCAGAGCUCGGCAAGCGCCGGCGGGAGAGGCCCCGCGCGGGUCGCGGCGACCCUUCCCGGACAGAAGCUUGCCGAGCCCGCUUUCCGCGGCGUGGGUGACCUGGGGCCUGGGACCGCUCCCUGCGCCCCACGCCCCCCGGGACCUCUUCGUCCCCGCUUCCCACUCGGGGACCACCCUGCUCCCUCGGACCGAAGCGGGCCCUGGGACGCGUUGGCCCAGACCCCGAGGAAACGUCUUCUCGUGGCCCGCUUCGCGCUUUUCGAAGGCGGAGAGUCACUGAGCUGGAAGAUAGCAGUCAUGCGUGGGAGAGAGUUGAGUCCUCUGGUUAUAUAGGAGCUGUACCGGAACAGUACGCUAACUCAGAAAUGAUGGAAGAAAACCGCACUUCCACUGCGUCCGACUUUGCACUGUGAAGGACAUUGCUUACCUUUUGGAUAAGGAGGCAAGAUGCUGUUGAUGAAAAAGUUUGGGGUGCCCCAAGCUGGGACCUUCUGAUCCCGGGAGACUGAACGUAAGCAAGCGAGGAGGUGCAGUAGUGUGAGAGGUUGACCAGAAGACCACUUGGGCCAGUGUUCCUGGGGAAGACUUCACAGCCAGAAGGAAUUCUAGGUAGUCACAGAAGAACGUGUAGGUCAUCUAGAGCUCUAGGAUGGAACGAGCAUGGAAGCAAAAGCCAGCAACGAAAGAAGGAACUGCUAGAAAUGUAAGAUUCAUCCUGGUCAGUAGUUGGACAAAAGACUGGAGGAUCUAGUAUGUAAUACCUAGAACCCAAGAAGCCUUGAAUGAAAGCCAGGAUGAGUAGGUUAGAUGACACUCUUAUUUUCCAUCACCCAAAGUUUGAUUGGAGACUAGUUUGGAGGUGAGAUGCAAGACAGAUUUCCCAGAAAGUUACAGCUGAGAAAGUGUCCUUGCAUGAGGAGCAGGUCUGAAUGGGGAGUUUCAGGUUUCCCAGGGAAUGUUCCAGGUUCAAGCUUGAAAGUCAUGUGGCACCUGUAGCCUUUUCUUUCUCUGUGUAGAUAGAACUGUCCAUUCACUGGAAAGGAUCAUACUCUAUAGCAUCUAGUCCUUUUUUAUUUUGCCCAGCCUGUGGCUCACUGUGUCAUCUUGGUGUAAAUUAACCCAGAGUUUUUACUCGUGGCAACACUAAUGGGGACCUUUGGAAAUGGAAUGGGCUGUUUAAAUUCUGGGGAGUAGGGAGCGCUUCCAGAAAGGAAAUUGUGUGAAACAACCACAAGAUGGUGGCACUCUACACUCAUUUUGAGAAUGGAAAACCCUCCCAUAGAAUUUGAAAAACUUCCAGGAAUUCCUUGGCCUUUUUCUCAAUCACGGAAAGAACCCCUGCAACAGUCUUUGGUAAUGAGUUACAUAUAUAUACAAUAUUUAUUCCCAUACACAGAAGAAUGAAAAGCAUCCAAGGACGAUCCUCGAGCUCAGCGUUCCUUGUCUUUCUGGGUACAGCUUGUGAAGCCCAGAGUAAUUAGGAUUGUAGGGUAAACGUUUUGUUCAGCCAGUGUUGUUUGCGUUCAGAAUCUGAGCCUAAGGAAUGUUUGAUCUUACCUCUGCCUGUGAUCAUAUCUGUUAUUUAUGAGCACAUAGCAUGGUGCUUGACACUUAGUCUUACUUGUGUCAACUCGUACAAUCUUCAUAAGAGAAUUUGGAGUUGAGGUUUCCAUGGCUCAUUAUGCAGACAUGGUUCAGUGAUAAAGAUGUCUGUAUGCUCUAUAUACCUCAUCAACCCCAACCAUGAUCUUGGGCCUUUCUUCACAUUUUCCAGACUAAUACUGCGUCAAAUGAAUUACCUGGCACAAUACUGUAGAGAACUGUCUUUAAUUAGCAAUCUCAACACACAAAAACAAGCCUAACUUACAAAAUUUGGACAGCACUCACACACCUGGUGAUUUUGCCCUUGAAGAUUGUAUUUUAGUUUUGUUCCCUAGGAACAAAAAGGAAUAAAGUCCCUACUGACUCUCUCUGUAGGUUUUAAAGGUAUCUCUUGGAAACAGUGCAUGGGAUUAUAAAAUAUUCAUCGGAUCAUCUGUCUUCUAUCUGCAGAGCUUAGUCCAUUUGUAUUUAUUUUGAUUCCUAAUACAUUCUUUUUCUAUCAUUUUACACACUUUCUAUUCAUUGUGUUGUUUUUUUGCUUUGCUUUCCUCCCCCUCUUUCUUGGAGGCACUAUUAAUCUAAGAGUACUUUAAAUUAAAAUUUUCCAUUUGAGGUUUUUGGAACGCACAAUUGGUGUGGGAAUUUAGAUCCUCUGUGUGAGGGUUGCCUUGUGGAUAUAAAUUCUCAAGGGAGAAUUUUCUCCCCACUUUCUGCCAAGGUCGAAAGAGAUAAGUGUCUCUUUCUGCAAUGCGGGUUUGUUUCUUAUGAUCCCUUAUAGGAACUUGGGUGCCCCAGCUUUGGGUGGGGCCUUACAGAGCAUAUCUGAGGUACAUUUACUGAAUGGAAAGUCACCAGCGUAGUGGACCCUGUCGGUACCUGGCCCAGCUCCCCUUACUGGCUGGUGCCUCCCCAGUUUCUGUGAGUAUGCAAGCCCGGUGUCUCCCUUGAUUUUCUUUUCUAAGAUUUGAUUUAUUUAUUUGACAGAGAGAGACACAGCGAGAGAGGGAACACAAGCAGGGGGAGUGGGAGAGGGAGAAGCAGGCUCCCCACCGAGCAGGGAGCCCGAUGCGGGGCUCGAUCCCAGGACUCUGGGAUCAUGACCUGAGCAGAAGACAGAUGCUUAACGACUGAGCCACCCAGGCGCCACUCUCCCUUGAUUUUCACCAAAGGUGUACUCCUACUUAACAUGAGUCUGUGUACAGUGGAGUUUUUAUGGACACUGGGUGUGUUGCUUAUUAGAAAUGAAGGAUCCGACUGCAGACAUAGCCUGUGACAGAGAAAAUCCAGUGUCUGUUUCAUUUUCCCCCCAGUAAGAAAUGUAUGAACUAGGGUAAUAUCAGUAAGACACUGGUUAUAGUUCUCUGGAUAAAUUGUUAAAUUUAUUGUCAAAUCAUUCUUAGGUGAGCUGAGGAAAGAAAGAAAGAGGAAGAGGGAGAGAAGGAAGGAGGGAGGGAGGAAAGAAGAAAGAGUGAUCUUUAUGCCUGAUGGCUCCUGGGUAGGCUGAAUUGCUAAGUGUUAAGAUGGAAUGAGCUGGCAGGUCAAAUCCAAGAGAUGAUGGGACGGCCCUCUAAUAACACAUCCCCACUGUAAAGCCACACCACAGCAACACCCUUCCUCUCUUACGCAUGUCUUCUUCCUCUGCCUGGCUCCCUAGCUCACUGGGAGUUUCCUGUUGCUUGAGGGUCCUGGGAGCCACCAUGAACUAAUUCUCUGAUCGACAUCACUUGAAAAAUCUUUAGAGUUGUCUUGAGAGAGGUCUUGCAGCUAUUUGAAUUAGGAAACCUCCUGUUAAAUUAUGUCCACAAAUUCCUUGAUAACCCCCUUCAAGAGACGGAGCCUAAUGUCCUUCCCUUGAGUGUAAGCUGGCCUCAGUGACUGAGUUCUAAUGAAUAGGAAGCUGUAGGAUUGAUGCUGUAAUUUCUGAGACUAGGUUAUAAAAGGCACGUGGCUUCCCCCUUGUUCUCGCUCUCUCUUUCUCUCUCAGGUGACUUGCUCUGGGCAAGACCAGCUGCUGAGUUGUGAAGACACCCCAGCAGCCCUGCGGAGAGGUCCUUGUGGGGAGUAAUCAAAGUCUCCUGUUAAUAGCCAGCAAGGAAUGAAGGCUCCUGCCAACAGCCAUGUGUAUGAACCAUCCCGAGGACAGAUCUUCCAGUCCCAGUCAAAUCUUCCAGUGCCUGCAGACCCAGAACCAGAACUGCCCAGCAAAGCCACUCCCAAGUUGUCGACCCACAGAAACUGUGUGAGAUGAUCAGUGUUUAUUUCUUUAAGCUGUUAAGUUGGGGGGAUGAUCUGUUGUGCAGAAAUAGACAACGAAGACACUCCCUCACAUAAAAUUGUGCAUCACCAGAACAGGAUCAUGUGUUUGUGUUUAUGGUGGGUGUUUAGGCAUAUUGGUAG